GAGAAUAUAGAUAGACAGACAGACAGAGAGUGAGUGAGUGUGUGUUUGAGUGAGAGAGAGAGAAGGCAAAAGGACAGAAUAACUGAAAACAUUUAAGCCUGAAGGCUGAAAGGGGAGGGACUGCCUUGACUUGUUCUUUUUCAAACAAGUUUGUGGAGAAUCUUGGAGAAGCUCUUUUUCUGCUUGGGAAGAAGGGGCAGGGUCUAUGUUAAGUGAGAGAGCAGUUCAGGGGCAGGGGUGUAAAACUGGAGGAGAACGGGGAAAAGGCAAUUUUGCUCUGUAGGAAAUCAUGCCAGUGGAUGCUGCCAGUGUCCGAUUUCACAAAAUGACAAACCACUGCAAGAGCACUUCUACAGGGCUCGUCCAGCUGAGAAAGGAUGCCAGCUGCUAGCACAAUGACUGGUGGGAGGGCCCUGCUGCUCUGUACCAACACUGACAACCAAUCAGUCAACGGGCUCCAGUGCUGCGGCUUGAAGGUUGGGGAGGCUCCGUCUGCGGUCCCCCAGCGGCCAGACGUGGUGUGUGUGGACAGGGACACCUCCAAGCGGCCCCUCUCCCCCCUGUUCUCCCCUCUGGAUGGGCCAGGUACCACUGACACCAUGCUGGCUUACAAGAGUGCCACCUCGGACCCCCAGACCACCGUGGAGAAUGGACUGGUCAGCUGUAGCAAACUCAACAAGACCCCAGCGGGUCUAAAGACCAGCGCCAGCAUCCGGGACAAGAUCUCCCAAUGGGAGGGGAAAAAGGAGACCCUCCCUACCUCCCCAGUGGUUGGAAGUGGUCCAUGCCUGCUGACCACAGUGCACAAGGAACCAGAGACUGUGAGAAAGAAGGAGAUCUCGGAGGUCAACAGGACGGACAGUAAGAGGUUGGUCAGCUGGGAGAGGCAGGACUCUGGGAAGGAGAAUGUAGGAAAGCUGGGGGAUUUACGGCCAAAGUCACCUGAGGGCCUCACUACCAGGGACAGAGAGGUGAUACUGGAUAGAGGAUCCCUCAGAGGCAGUAGUAAACCCACAGAGACAGCCAAGGAAAAUAAGUCAGUUUUGACUCACAUUAAGAAACUGGAGCAGGCCAUGAAAGAGGGUCCCACCAAUCCCUCCUUGGUGUUGCCUGGGAACUAUUUCUGCCCCCCUUCCAAGGAGGAGCAGGAGGAAGCAGAGAGGAGGGGGAACGAGCCCAUAUUUGGGACACUGGACGUUAUGGGGUCAAGGCCUGUGGGGUCAUCGCGGCAGCAGAGGUCAGGUGACCCUGAGAAUGUGUACACUGAGCCUGGUGCUGCAAGUCCCUCCAUCAACCCCUUACCCAAACCCCAGCGCACCUUCCAGCACCACACCCCUCCCAGCGCCUCAGGACUUGGCCUGGGCAAGGGGAGACGUAACCUGCCUCCUCUGCCCUCCAUCCCCCCGCCUCCCCUACCCACCUGCCCCCCGCCAGGAGUCUGCAGGAGACCCUGGUCAGACAGAACACGAGACAGCAGCAACAGGAAGUCCUAUGAGUUUGAGGAUCUGCUGCAGUCGUCGUCAGAGAGCAGCAGGGUGGACUGGUAUGCUCAGUCCCGACUGGGCCUCACACGCACUUUAUCAGAGGAAAAUGUAUAUGAGGAUAUACUAGACCCUCCGUCAAAGGAGAACCCUUACGAAGAUAUAGAGUUGGAGAGAAGUUGCCCUGGAAACAAGUGCUCUUUACCCAUCUCCUCUCCCUCAUCUCUUGUCCCCGACACACCGACCAAGCUCUCCUCAAAGCCGGGUUUCUUCAGGCAGAACUCAGAACGCCGCAGCUUCAAGCUCCUGGACCUGCGUAAGACCAACCGGGACACUGGCAUCUCCUCGCCCUCCCGCAUCAGCCCCCCCUCCACCCCCAGCAGCCCUGACGACACUCCCAGUCUCUCAGGAGACCCCUACAACCGCAGGCGCAGAAAGAUCCCCAAGAUGGUGCUGAAGAUCAACGGCAUCUUCGAGGUGAGGAGAGGGAAGAAACGCAUGAAGAGGGUGUCUCAGUCUACUGAGUCCAGCUCAGGGAGAGUGACAGAUGACAACAGUGAGUCAGAGAGUGACACAGAGGAGAAAUUGAAAGCUCACAGCCAGCGUCUGUCGUCGGUGCAGUCCAUGUUGAGGCAGACGGGGCGGUACCGGACCCUAGAAAGGGACCUGAUGGACCUACACGAGAGAAAGCUGUUUGAAUAUUUCAUAGUGGUGGCCCUUCAGAAGACCAAGGCUGGAGCUCCUUAUCUACCAGAGGUCACUCAGCAGUUACCUCUCAAGCUGGAGAGGAGCUUCAAGUUCAUGAGGGAAACAGAAGACCAACUGAAGGUCAUUCCUCAGUUCUGUUUUCCUGACGCUAAAGACUGGGCCCCCGUUGACAACUUCCCCAGUGAAACGUUCUCCUUCGUCCUGACUGGUGAGGACGGGAGCAGACGGUUCGGAUACUGUCGCCGUUUACUGCCCAGUGGUAAAAGCCGGCGGCUGCCAGAAGUCUACUGCAUCGUCAGCCGGCUGGGCUGUUUCGACCUCUUCUCUAAGAUCCUGGAUGAGGUAGAAAAGAGGAGGGCCAUCUCUCCAGCCCUGGUGCAGCCCUUCAUGAGGGGCAUCAUGGAGGCUCCGUUCCCCGCCCCGGGGAGAACCAUCACUGUGAAGAACUUCCUGCCUGGCUCAGGCACUGAGGUGAUAGAGCUGUGUCGUCCGUCUGACUCUCGUCUGGAGCAUGUGGACUUUGAAUGCCUGUUCUCCUCUCUGUCGCUGCGUCUGCUCCUCAGAGUCUUCGCCUCUCUGCUGCUGGAGCGCAGGGUCAUCUUCACCGCUGACAAACUCAGUACUCUGUCUCAGUGCUGCCAUGCGGUGGUGGCUCUACUCUACCCGUUCACCUGGCAGCACACCUACAUCCCCGUGCUGCCCCCUUCCAUGCUGGACAUAGUGUGUACCCCUACCCCCUUCAUCGUGGGCCUGCUAUCCAGCUCCCUGCCCAGCCUCAAAGAGCUGCCCAUCGAGGAGGUCCUGGUGGUUGACCUCGGCAACAGCCGCUUCCUCAGACAGCUGGAUGACGAGGACUCCAUCCUGCCUCACAAGUUGCAGGCUGCUCUGGAAUAUGUUCUGGACAAGAGGAAGGAACUGGCCAGUGAGAUGCCCACCAACUCAAGCUCACUCAGCACUAUGGUGUCGGAGACAUUUGUACGUUUCUUCGUGGAGAUGGUGGGCCACUACCCUCUCUUCAUGGGCGGGGGGGAUCGAGAGGACGAGUCUGGAGCCCCCUCCUCCCCCACCCCAUCCUGCUUUCAGCGUGAGGCCUUCCGCAAGGCCGUCACUUCCAAGAGUCUGAAGAGGUUCCUGGAGGUCUUCAUGGAGACCCAGAUGUUCACUGGGUUCGUGGCAGAGAGGGAGCAGCGCAGGCAGGGUCUAAGAGGUGUGGAGAGAGGUUUGUUUGAGGUGAGGUCACAAGAUUACCUGGACUCUCUCCCAGGUAGCGAACAACGUGGGGUCAACAAGUUCCUCAAGGGUCUAGGAAAUAAGAUGAAAUUCCUGUCCAAGAAAUGAUGCCUCGGGAGGGGACUCCAUGAGCGAGAGUGUGUUCAAAUGAGGCAGAGAAGAAAACACUUUGCCUAAAGACGUCUAAGGACCCAAACUCCCUGUUGAUAGCAUGAAGAAGGGGAUUGUGUGGGUGUGUGUCCACAAGCUUAUGGACACACAUGCUGGGCAAGGACCGAACACUCCUGGCAAUAUUUGGACUGAACAUGAAGGACUUUGGAGUGUGUUGGGGUUUAGGAAUCGGACCAAAAACAUUCAUAUUGUCCCAGCCCCAAAGACACAGACCCAUCAAGGAACGUCAUUCUCCAUUGAGGUCUUAUCAUUCCUGGGUGUCUCUCUGUUGCCUCUGUUGUUGAGAGCUUACUUUUGUAAAGCUGUCAGUCUUUAUAGUGUACAUUGAUGUACUGUAUAGCACAGUCAAUUUCCAUUCCUAGAGUUGGGAUAGAAUGACUCCACCCACAAACCUGAAAGGCACCAAUGAGAACUCCAUCGAGGAUGUUGCUGGGUGGACCAAAAGACCAUUACAUUUUGUACAGUACCUUUUAAACAUUCCACAUAUUUCUAUUGAGUACAACUUCUUUGUUAACAGGAGGCUUAUAAGUUAAUUUAUACUGUAUACUUUUUAGAAUAACUUUAUCUCUUCCUUUUUCCCUCCUUCAAAUGAAAGCAAAAGAAUAUCCUAUAGUUUGUGAUGGGCUUUAUGUAGUCUGUAUGGAGGAGGGGUUGUAGACCACUGGGUUACUAUUGAGGAAAUAUACCACUGUGACAGGAGAGUGAUCUAUAGAUUGGAAUGGGUGUAAGCCAAAAAAGAGAGGAAACGAGAGAGAAAUUAUCAGGAAAUCAUACCUGGAUGAAGACAAAGUAGGCCUACAACAAAUCGAUAUGUCAUUGUAAAACACCACUAGUUUCGCCUUAAACUUGAUUUGAAAAUGCAAUGAAACUAUUAAAUAAAGUGAUUUUUAAUUAAGAAAUACAAGGAUGUGGGCUCCAUUCAUGCCUGAUUGUUCUUGCUGAGGAAGUAACAGCUAUUACAACGUUAUAAACUGAUUAUUAAAUCGCUCAUAAUAUUGUUUACAUUUCCAACAAAUGUACAAUGGGUUAAUGACUUGAUUUUACGAUACAAAAGGACAGUAUCGUACAAUUGAGCGCUUCAUUUUUAAGUCAUUACCCACAUUAUCCACUGGAGGGCUCUCUAUUACCCAUUUCAUUCAAUACUGACGCUCCAGUUGUUCAGAGUCCUCUCUACCAGUGCUCAAUUUAUUAUGGUUUCUGUAAAGAUUAAUAGCACAAUCGAUUUUCCUCGUUAGCUAUAAAUAAAUGAACACUGAUAUCAAAUGAAAAAUCAUUAUUAUGAACGAAAUAUAUCAACAUAUUUUGCCAAAGGACAUUACAAGUUUAAAAAACGUAUACAGUCUAUUUAUAGUUUAUAUAACCUAAUAUCAAUAGUAAUUUAUAUUAGGUUAUCUCAUGUAUUACUUGAAUAGUGCCCUAUAAACAAAUAAAAUAGCCAAGAGGGGUAUUUUAAUCUUUAUUGUAGGGUUAUUUCACAACUUCAGAUAAUUAUAAGAGGGCUGAUAAGUUUUCGCAGUAGCUCAAUAGCUUUGUCCCUUUGUGUGUAUUUGUCCCUCUCUGAGGCAAUGACAAUCCCCGACCUCUGUUUUUCUUGAUGUGAUUUCCUUUUUCCCUUACCAAGGCUGGCUUUCUUUUCCUUUUCGGAACGCCGUCCCCUCCAAUUCCCCUCCCUCAUUACGUGUUGACCCGUCGGUCCUGCCUCCCUCUUUCCCCUCGUCUUUUUCUCUGCCUUCCAGGCUUCAUGUCAUACCACAGCUAAUUCCUUAAAUUCCAGCCCUCCUCGCGCUUCAAACGACUCAGGAAAGGCGAGACAAAUAAAUAUGUUUAUUUACAGAAAUCUGACCCAAAAAUUCCACUUGCGUGCUUGACCCAGCGGUGUUGUCUUUUGCUUGACUUUCAACAGGAAAUAAGAUGAAAUUCCUGUCCAAGAAAUGAUGCCUCGGGAGGGGACUCCAUGAGCGAGAGCGUGUUCAAAUGAGGCAGAGAA